UACGUAGGGUGCUAGCGUUGUCCGGAAUUAUUGGGCGUAAAGAGCUCGUAGGCGGCCUGUUGCGUCCGCUGUGAAAGCCCGGGGCUUAACCCCGGGUCGGCAGUGGAUACGGGCAGGCUAGAGGUAGGUAGGGGAGAAUGGAAUUCCCGGUGUAGCGGUGAAAUGCGCAGAUAUCGGGAGGAACACCUGUGGCGAAAGCGGCUCACUGGACCAUAACUGACGCUGAUGCACGAAAGCUGGGGGAGCAAACAGG
rnacentral:rRNA from 1 species